GACGAACGCUGGCGGUGUGCUUAACACAUGCAAGUCGAACGGAAAGGCCCUGCUUGCAGGGUGCUCGAGUGGCGAACGGGUGAGUAACUCGUGGGUGAACUGCCCCUUUCUUUGGGAUAGGCCUGGUCAACUGGGCCUAAUACUUGAUAGGACCAUUCUGGAGGCGGAGUGGUGGAAAGAUUAGUUUCGGUUAGGGGUGAGCUCGCGGCCUGUCAGCGUGUUGGUGGGGUAAUGGCCUACCAAGGCGUCGACGGGUAGCCGGCCUGAGAGGGUGGGCGGCCCGAUUGGGACUGCGACGCGGCCCAGACUCCUGCGGGAUGCCGCAGUGGGGGAAAGCGCGCAGUAGGAGCGCGCCUGAUGCAGCGACGCUGCGCGGGGCGUGACGCCCUUCUGGUUGUAAACUACUUUUAGGCAUGACGCAGCGCUUGUCGUGACGGUAGUUGUAGAAGAAGCCCCGGCUAACUACGUG
rnacentral:rRNA from 1 species